rnacentral:rRNA from 1 species
GACGAACGCUGGCGGCGUGCCUAAUACAUGCAAGUAGAACGCUGAAGGAGGAGCUUGCUCUUCUGGAUGAGUUGCGAACGGGUGAGUAACGCGUAGGUAACCUGCCUGGUAGCGGGGGAUAACUAUUGGAAACGAUAGCUAAUACCGCAUAAGAGUAGAUGUUGCAUGACAUUUGCUUAAAAGGUGCAAUUGCAUCACUACCAGAUGGACCUGCGUUGUAUUAGCUAGUUGGUGGGGUAACGGCUCACCAAGGCGACGAUACAUAGCCGACCUGAGAGGGUGAUCGGCCACACUGGGACUGAGACACGGCCCAGACUCCUACGGGAGGCAGCAGUAGGGAAUCUUCGGCAAUGGACGGAAGUCUGACCGAGCAACGCCGCGUGAGGGAAGAAGGUUGUCGGAUCGUAAAGCUCUGUUGUAAGAGAAGAACGAGUGUGAGAGUGGAAAGUUCACACUGUGACGGUAUCUUACCAGAAAGGGACGGCUAACUACGUG